rnacentral:rRNA from 1 species
UACGUAGGGUGCGAGCGUUAAUCGGAAUUACUGGGCGUAAAGCGUGCGCAGGCGGCUUUGCAAGACAGAUGUGAAAUCCCCGGGCUUAACCUGGGAACUGCAUUUGUGACUGCAUGGCUGGAGUGCGGCAGAGGGGGAUGGAAUUCCGCGUGUAGCAGUGAAAUGCGUAGAUAUGCGGAGGAACACCGAUGGCGAAGGCAAUCCCCUGGGCCUGCACUGACGCUCAUGCACGAAAGCGUGGGGAGCAAAAGGG